UGCAAGUCGAGCGGAAACGAUGGAAGCUUGCUUCCAGGCGUCGAGCGGCGGACGGGUGAGUAAUGCAUAGGAAUCUGCCCGGUAGUGGGGGAUAACUCGGGGAAACUCGAGCUAAUACCGCAUACGUCCUACGGGAGAAAGUGGGCUUUUGCUCACGCUAUCGGAUGAGCCUAUGUCAGAUUAGCUAGUUGGUGGGGUAAAGGCUCACCAAGGCGACGAUCUGUAGCUGGUCUGAGAGGAUGAUCAGCCACACUGGGACUGAGACACGGCCCAGACUCCUACGGGAGGCAGCAGUGGGGAAUAUUGGACAAUGGGGGCAACCCUGAUCCAGCCAUGCCGCGUGUGUGAAGAAGGCUUUCGGGUUGUAAAGCACUUUCAGCGAGGAGGAAAGCGGUGUUGUUAAUACCAGCAUCGUGUGACGUUACUCGCAGAAGAAGCACCGGCAAACUCCGUGCCAGCAGCCGCGGUAAUACGGAGGGUGCGAGCGUUAAUCGGAAUUACUGGGCGUAAAGCGUGCGUAGGUGGUUAAGUAAGCCAGAUGUGAAAGCCCCGGGCUUAACCUGGGAACGGCAUCUGGAACUGCUUAACUAGAGUGCAGUAGAGGAAGGUAGAAUUCCACGUGUAGCGGUGAAAUGCGUAGAUAUGUGGAGGAAUACCAGUGGCGAAGGCGGCCUUCUGGACUGACACUGACACUGAGGUACGAAAGCGUGGGGAUCAAACAGGAUUAGAUACCCUGGUAGUCCACGCCGUAAACGAUGUCUACUAGCCGUUGGGCUCCUUGAGAGCUUAGUGGCGCAGCUAACGCAAUAAGUAGACCGCCUGGGGAGUACGGCCGCAAGGUUAAAACUCAAAUGAAUUGACGGGGGCCCGCACAAGCGGUGGAGCAUGUGGUUUAAUUCGAUGCAACGCGAAGAACCUUACCUACCCUUGACAUCCAGAGAA
rnacentral:rRNA from 1 species